UCUAACUCCGUGGCCAGCAGGCCCGUGGUCAUACGGGAGGGUGCAAGCGUUACUNCGCAUUUACGUCGGUGUCGNAAAGCGCNCUUAGGCGGUUUGAUAAGUNUGANGUGAAAGCCCUGGUACUCAAUCCAGGUAAGUGCAUUGUUAUACUGUCANACUAGAGUAUAGGNGGGGUAAGCGGAAUUCCAGGUGUAGAGGUGAAAUUNGUACAUAUCUGGAGGAACAACAGAGGCUAAGGCGGCUNACUGGACUAUUACUGACGCUGCNNAGCGCAAGCGUGGGGAGCGAACAGCAUUAGAUACCCUGGUAGUCCACGCUGUAAACGAUGGACACUACGUGUC
rnacentral:rRNA from 1 species